UCUUAUACAAACACACCCCCUUCUCCUAGCCGUUGGUUCGACGACUGGAAGACCUAGCCCCAGCACGGCAUGCCGCACGGCGAUGGCCACACGACCCUCUCCUCUUCCCUGACCUGCUCCGCGGUAGACACACGAGGGCAGUCCGCGCCGCGCUGAUUUGUUUCCGCCCCAGAUUCCUUCUGGUACGCGAGGAGGAUCCUUAACGAGACGGUAUGUGCAAAAAUGACCUUCAGCCAGCAUUGUACCUGCACGCUCCAAUCUGGCAGACUGUUUCUGAUGAGAGGGUCUAGAACUCCAGAUUGGCCAAGUACAUGAGUGCUGUCAAUAGAAUGUUAAUCAAGUUACCAUUCCGCCAAAGAGAGGGAGGUGAGGGUAGCAGGCCGAAGCUACGGUAGCCCUGCAACUGGAGGUCAUUGAUGAGGGCCUAGAUUUGAAAGUCAUUGUAAUAGAUUGGAGAAGAACAUAUCAUGGAAUGUAAUUGUAUACACAUCCUUCCAAUCAGCACCUGUAGAAAAUACAGAAAUGUGAUGCUGCAGAGGUCAUGCUGUCUUGCCAGUUCCAUGAAUGAAAUACUAAGGUAAGAUGGCCAAACUUGUUUCUCCUAACCAAUUCUUCGGUCUUGUAUAUUUUCUUCACAGAAGUUAUGUUUAUCGUUUGCAAAAGUAUAGUUCACUUAAAAUAUGAUUUUCCAAAUAUUUACCCAUCUUCCGUUUCUCAGUGAUCACUUAGGUCCAGUGUAUCUAUAUGUGUAAAAAGAACACACUAAGCAAUUAAGUUGAUACAUGCGAUUUCUAUUGUAAUUAAUUGCGACUGUUAGGGACUCAUUUUAGACAAGUGCAUGACUGAUUACUUGAGUGGAGGGUUGCUGAGGAUCAUUCGCAGCUAAAAUGCACCUUCCCUAGUUAUUAGGUUUCCAUGAUACCUCAAGGAUUGUUAUGUCUGUGCACAGCCAUAGUUAUUUAGAAUGGAACAUUGUAGUAGAUACAUGGCACGACUAUUGACGAUUUAUGAUGCUUUAUUUUCAUACAUGAAGAAAUGGAAUUUGGUGUCACUUGCAGGUUCAACUAUUCAUUUCUACUAGUAAUUUGGAAACUAAGUUUAAAGGAAUAGGGACAGUGAAAUUUAUUUCUUAAUAAAUAGCACAAUAGUAAUGUCAAGGAAAAGUAGUAUACCUUGUUGUAAGUCCAUGAUGCAUUUGCCCAUAUCACUUAUUGGGUUAGACUGAAACUUUAAGCGCUCAUCUCCUUUGGAAGACUAACUUCCAGGAAGUACAAGCUGCCAAUUGAAGUUUUAUUGCACAUCAGGAGACAUUUCCAAACAUAUUUGCACUGAUGUGAGGGAAAAUGCAACUGUUAUAAAUGGUACUGGUACGUCAAUUUAUGUAUCAGUGCAUUGUUAGAUAAUGUUACCAAAUUAUGCCCUUUGCAUCAAUUCUUUGUCAAAUUACGAUCUUAUAUCACUACAUGUUUCUGAGUUUUCUUCUGUAUAUCACUAAUGUGGUCCCUUAAAUUUGUGUGAAGCAGUUGUUUCUUUUGGGGGCAUAAAUAUAUGUAACGAGUCCUGAGCAAAAGGUGUUCCGAAAUCUUUUUAGAUAGUUAUAUAUUGUACUAGAAUUCGUUAAGUUAUAAAAAAAUAUGAAGAUACAAAUUUUGAUACAAGACCUUUGUGAUUUUCAAGUUCUGACAUACGGACACAAACUGCUAACAUAUUCAAUAUAGUAAGUUUAUGCAUUACUUCCAUCUUGCAUAGUAUUCCCUACUAUGAAGCCCUCACUGAAUUGAAAGAUCUUAAUAGGAUUUCAACUGUUUGGAAUUUGUGCAAUAAGGGACCUUUUGGAUUUCAACCGUUUGGAAUUUGUGCAAUAUGCCUACAUACGGACACAACUUUUUGGAUCAAAGAAUAAGACCACCAAAAUUCCUGUGGAUUCCUUUCCUUCACCUCAUUUGCAUAGGAUUCUUAAGUCCUAACAGGAGGUUAAACCUCAUGUAAUUUUCCUUUGUGUCUUGCAUGCACCUUCUCUCUUUUUUGAUUCCUGUUUACUUCCUGUGGAGUAUGCAAACAUCAUCUGUGCAAAUUCCUAUGUUUUGGUUCCAAAAUCAUGACAUUUCGGUGCUAUGUGCUUCCCAUUCCUGUGUUUCUAGAAUAUUGCCUUCCAGAGAGGCUCUAAAAAUAAUAUAGAGAGGGUCCCCCCUGACCUAUUAUGAAUAUGUACAUGAUACAUUGAGCCGAUGUAAUACGUAGAUGUUCUCAUUAUUAGUUUUGACUUUUGACUAUUUAAUGUUGCUAGCUACAGAAGUAUUGGACAUAAUCUUGUUGCUAGCACUUGGGGAUUAAUCAAAGAUCAACAUAUAGUUAAUGCUGGUAGACAUGAUAUUUUUAUGUUAGCCAAAGUAUUACAAACUAGAAAUGGAUUAAAGUAAAUCUGUACUUGUUUGAUGUCUCAGACUUACAAUAAGUUAGUUGCAUGAUGCAUGGAAAGUUAUAUGUAAGCAAGUGUUAUAAAACUGCUUUAGUUUAUAACUAGGAUCUCCUAAAGAUUGUCUCCAAAGUUUUGAUAAUAUUCACCAAAGUGUGUUUACUGUUCUGUGUCUACUACUUAUUUUUUGGAUAACUUUCAGAAUCUGGCCACCAUCUAGUUCUUUGUUGGGCCAAAUGCAAUUUGUGGAAAAAAAUCUUGUGUGACCAAAUUGGGAGGUAGAUUUGGCUGUAGUCUUGUAGUCAAAUUUGGCCAAUUCUGGCUACAAGCUGACAUGCAUAACCCUUGGAAAGAUGAAUAUACACACACCUCACGCACAUAAAAGAUAAUUGACUUAUGUAAUUUGAAUUGCAUUGCAUAUCAUAUGAGUUUAACGCACCUCAUGGACAUAAAAGCCAUGCCAACGAAUACAGCUUUCACAGCAUCCUUGCGUCCAGCGUAUUCAAUUGCUAAUGGUAGCAUCUCAUACAGUGUCAGAAAUGCCAUUACUCCUCCCACUGUACAAAAUGGAAAAUUUGAAUAAAUAUUAUGUUACUUAGCAAAACUUAUUAACAUUUUUGAACUGUUCUUUACUCAUUACCUAAUCCAAGUAGACCUUCCAAUAUUUCUGGAUUUAAGUUGCUCGGAAAUAGGUAUGCUGCAAGUAGCACAAUUUUAUAUGCCAUGUUUGAGAUACAAAAGAGGAAAAUAUAAAUGAAGUGCACAAACUCAACCUAGGAUGUUACUCACUGAAGGGGGGAAAAUCUGCUUGUAAUAAAGAUAAGUUCUAGAGAAAGAUUAGUCGCAACUGGUUGUUCACUGUUUAAUAAAGCUCUGCAUCUCAUUGAUUAGAGCAUUUUUUAAUGAUCUACUCCCUCCGUCCUAUAAUAUAAGGUGUUAUUACAACCAGUGUACUCAUAUAUUGAUUGUAAUAACAUAUUAUAUUAUGGGACGGAGGGAGUAUGUACCAAGAUCCAUUUUCAAUGACUGAGCUUCUCAAUCAGAUAGUAACAUGGAUCAGUACAUCAUUACUUCGUGGGGAAAACUCAAUUGCUUUGAACAAGUCACUUGUAAUAGAAUAAGCGAAGACAACCUACCGACGAUAAUUACACCUAUUGGUUCCGCAAAACCAGCAAGGGUUGCUAGUUUGAACGCUUGCCAUUUGCUGCAUCAUAGACACAAAAUAACAAUAUUAUUAAACUGCAAACAGCAAAGCUUAUUUUCUUUCCAAAUCAGUGUGACUAUAAUAUUUAUUAUACAUUUUAUGUAUUUUAGCAAUUAUAUGCUUUUUUAUUAUAAAACAAAUCAUAUGCUUCUUUAGGUAAUAAUUAGUUUGACUAACCUUGUGAAUUAAACCAACUAAGCUGUGCCUAUUUUCUGAUCAUUUAGGUGAGGUUUUUUAUAAAAUAUGCCUACAUAUGAAUCAGCACUGUCAUGUUAAAAUAUGUACUUCCUUGUUUAGCUGCAAGUCUUCUCAACCCAGCAUUCACACAGACCAAGAAAACACUAUAUCUAAUAAGUUGGUGAGGAAUGAUCAUGCAUACCCCUAAUAAAUGAGAUACUACAAGCACUUUACUCUUCCAGAGCACAUUAAAGUCGGUGUAGAAUGGACUAUUGCAUUAACCUAUUUACCCCUCGAUGGGUAGUUAUUUUGAAGUUGAGACUUCUCAAGCCAGGGACAGUUAAUAGUGAAGGCCUGAAGGGGAGAGUGUAAAAUAUAUGAUGCAUAUUGUGUAAUAAUUUUAGCCAGUACCUGCAAGUGGCAAAAUAUGCAGGGAGAGCUACAGCAAUACCCUGCACAUGAACAGAAAAUUGCUACAAGUAUUAGCAGAUUCUUUGGUCUUGUAAACUUAGCUAUGUCAUUAGAAACACACCAACUUUUCACAAGAAUCAGUUGUGUAAAACUUCACCCAAUAUAGUAUUGUACUAUUAUGUAUCUUCGAAUCUGCUAUGCAUUUGCACCGUAAAAAGGUGGGAAGUAUCUAAGUCCCAAUUUUGUAUGUUGGCGAUUGAUUGAGAUUGGGAAUGGAAGUUCCACUUCCAGUUUCCACCAAAAUGGAUAUAGUUUAGACUUUAGAGUCAUUUUAGAUACUUAGAUGACAUUUUCUGCUCCAUACCCAUUCCCUAUUCCAUCUAAAAGCAUUAUAGAUUUAAUUACCUCCGGGAUGUAGUGUAGAGCUAUAGCAAUAACCAAGUUAAGGCCAACACGGAAUCCCUGAAAGGUAGAUAAGAUUAAUGGGAUGUACAACAUAAACUACUACUCUCCAUUAGUCAGUGUCUUGCUCAUACUUAUUUGAUAUGUUGACAGUGUUAUGGGCUAAAAAUAAACAUGCAUCCAGAAUAACUGCAAAAAUGCUAUUCUACUAUAACAUGCACGAAUGUCGAAUGGAGAUGUAAUACUUUUAGACAAAUGACCCGUAGAUUGAAAUAUUAAUAUUUCUAGAAUGUACUUAUCCAUGAAACAGAGUAUGGAGUGUUCAAUACUUCAAUACGAUUUAUCAGGUACAUAAAUCAAUAAAAAGAAUACUCCCUCCGUCCCGAAUUACUUGCCUUAGAUUUGUCUAGAUACGGAUGUAUCUAGACACAUUUUAGUGUUAGAUACAUACGUAUCUAGACAAAUCUAAGACAAGUAAUUUGGGACGGAGGUAAUACCAGUCAAUAAUAUAUAUAACAUUAAUUGAAAUUUAUCGUAAAAAUUAAUUCAAUGGCAAAGGAUAACAUAUACAAGCAAUUUACUGAUUCUGUCAAAUGUGAUCUGCCUGCCUAUAAUAUACUAGUAUUUUCUCAAAUAUAUACCUUUGCGGUUCCGAGAAAUGCUGCAGUACCCACCGGGAAGUUUUGCAAACUCACACCAGCAACUGUUCACAUAAGAACUUCGUUCAUGAAUGUGAUCAUUAAAAAUUAUAAACUUGUAGGAAAGGGGCAUAUCAUUGUGUAUAUGAUAUAUUGUUCUACAUAAUUUUGAGAACUUUCUAAUUUCAUGUGCUUGAUUUAUUUUAGAUUUAUUCUUCUAUCGCGUACUUUAUGAAAAACUACUGCUGCUAUCACCUGCCAAGAUUGAAUUAGUUUUAGGUGUUCAACAGGUGCUGUUGAAAUAGAACUAUUUUUGGUCAUAACUCUAUUAAACACUGAACAGGUCCUGAAGUUUUACUGCCAGCAUCACUUGUUAAAUCAUGUCUAUGAUCUUAAAUUGUAUUUAGGUGUUCAAUCUGAAUCCUUUAAUCUAAUAUUUCUACACACUGUCUUGUAUGAACAAGCCCCAUACGUUUGUUUGGAGUCAAUAUGCUCGAGCUCAGUACUGAAGUGUUAUGUGUAGUCAUAUAACAAUAUCAUCUGAAGAACCUAUCACGAAAAUGUGGAUUUCUGUAUAAUAUCUUAAAGGGCAUGUUUUCUCUUUCCGGGCUCAUGUUGUUGAAAACACUGUGAUGCAUUUUUGGUACUUGAUGUUACAAGUUUUGCUUACUUCAUGCUGUACAAUGCUACUUUUCAUUUGAAAGAUUGAGCACACAUGGAUAUAUUCAAUUAUUCAUACAUUGAAUGGCUGAUAAGUUAUCUUUGGUUCAGAAGCAUCAACGUAGAUGUGCAAAUAGUUUGAGUAGAAAAUAUUUUAUAUGAAGCUAGCAAAGUACAUCAGACUUACCAACUGCGGUGACAAUUACACUAAAGAUGACUCUUCUUCGGUGUCUCAUCAUAAGUUCCUUCCGUGCUGUACUGUUAACAGUCUUCUUCCCCAAAUGAAAUAAUCCUAUGUUACUUUUUCGAUAAAUGCUGACUGAAAAAGGCUGUUAGCAAAGUUGAGGGAAUUUAUACUUGUUUGUCAUUUUCAUCCGGUGGACUGCAUUCUGGCUCAGGGAAAAUAUCGGCAAUUGCUGAAAAUAGAAGUGCCCCAGCAAAAAACUGCAAAGCAAGGAUGAAAAAGAUAAGAAAUGGUACAGAUGCCUUGCAAAACAUCUUGCUUAAAACGCUCACCCAAAGGUUGCCUUUCAGAAAACCAAUUGCAUUAACAGCAUCAUAAGCCAGGUCAAAGAAGGACAUGCUCAACAUGAGCCCAGUAGCAAAUCCCUAAAAAGAGUUGUCAAAACAAUUGUUAAACGUUGAUUUGUGUAUAAAUAAACCUAUGCUGCUCUUUGGAUGUGACCUUAUGGUCAGAGUUAAGUAAAUUGUUGUAGCAUUUCACCUGUAAUAUCCCGAGUGUUCUGUUGUUUGGGGCAUGAUUUAGUAUUGCCAGUAGUGCACCUGAUGAGUAGCAAUAAAGUAUCAUUGGCAAAAGUAGCAGGCAAAUGCUAGAUAUCAAGAGGCACAACAUCUUGCUUUUCAUCUCUGCCUAGUCUAUAUCAUUCCAACGCUUUCCAAAUAAAUUAUGGGAAAGCUCCCAUUGAGAAAUAAAAUUGCUUCUGGCUGUCACUUGAGUUAUAGCAAUAAUAGUAUCUGUAAAGCAUCAGCUUAUGGGCCCUCUAUUCACGUUAGAUCCUGGUUAUAUCAUAUUGCGUUGCUUACGAACUUAACACUUAAAGGCUUACUAACUAAACACUCGUCAGUUUUAAAAGCUGGAGUGUUUUUCCUGAAAACUUAAACCUACACUUAAAGGCUAGUUGGUGUCGAGGAUUGGCAGGAUGAGUUGGACACAGUGCAAAGAUGGAGGGGGAUACGAAUUUGGGCGAUGAGUGAGUGGAUUCUGCUCUGGAAGCGGGUGUGCUGAACCAACAGGAUAUAUAUGAAUGCCCCAUGGACCUUGUACAAUUUCGUGCUUAAGAUGUACUGCGAGAAAAGAAUCUUGAUUGGAGCAACUAAAUGGAAAACCCACACUACCAGUUACAGCUUUGGAAGGGAAACAAUUGCAAAGGCAAUGCAUCAAAUGAAACGCUUGAUGCCAAUGAUGAAUACUACUGUGCAUGAUAAUAGUAUGAACAGACAGCAGGAGUGAAGGGCUGAAGGAAGACGCAUGUAUGCGUACCGAGGGAGGUGCUUAAGCCGCCUACGAGAGACAGGGUGAGAGCAACAGCGACCUUGGGAUCCAUAUGAACAGACCGGCUUUCUGAUGGAGAUGUAUAUGAGCUUUAUAUACAGGCCAGGAUGGUGACUAUGACGUUAGGCAGUCAAGGAGCCCCUGUGUGCGCGGCAACCGAUGAUGUGAUUGAAUGGAAAGAAGAGGGAGGGGUGAUCAAGUGGAGCUGCUGGUGCCUGGUUAUAUAUUAGCUUGAACAUCUACUCAGAGAAGUUGAGGGGGGCAAGUUUGGAAUGACUUGGCACAUGCUUGCUUGCUCGGUAGCUGCCCUUAAUUCUUGGACUUCCUGGUGGUUGGGGUAUGCCUGCGGGUAAGGUCAUGCUGUGAGGUAACUCUAUGCUAGAUUUCUUGUGUGUGGUAGAUGGGAAGAAAGCUAUUUGGGACUAGGAAUCUUACAACCUGACUGGCAGAGCCUUGCUAACACCCGAGGGGCAUAUCUUACAAGCUGACUGGUAGAGCCUUGCUAACACCCGAGGGGCAUAUCUUAUUUUGUUUUUGUAUGGAAUUAUAUCGUGUAUGUAAGCACUAAAUUUUGAUUUUUCAUCGUAUAACUGCGGCACCGUAUUAAUUACUCCCUCCAUUACAUCCGAGGGGCAUAUUGACACGUUUUAGUGUGUUUGUUCACUCAUUUCAGUCCGUAUGUAUCCCAUAUUAAAAUAUCCAAAACAUUUUAUA